UGCUUUUUCAUGCUUUUUUCAGAAGCUCGCC
rnacentral:piRNA from 1 species